rnacentral:rRNA from 1 species
UACGGAGGAUCCGAGCGUUAUCCGGAAUUAUUGGGUUUAAAGGGUGCGUAGGCGGCCAUUUAAGUCAGCGGUGAAAUUUUGCAGCUUAACUGUAACAGUGCCGUUGAUACUGGGGAGCUAGGAUUUGGUUGCUGUGGGUGGAAUGUGUGGUGUAGCGGUGAAAUGCUUAGAGAUCACACAGAAUAUCGAUUGCGAAGGCAGCUCACAAAGACCAAGAUUGACGCUGAGGCACGAAAGUGUGGGGAGUCAAACAGGA